ACCCGCACCACUUAUCGUGGUGGGAGACAGUGUCAGGCGGGCAGUUUGACUGGGGCGGUCGCCUCCUAAAAGGGAACGGAGGCGCUCAAAGGGUCCCUCAGAAUGGUUGGAAAUCAUUCAUAGAGUGUAAAGGCAUAAGGGAGCUUGACUGCGAGACCUACAAGUCGAGCAGGGUCGAAAGACGGACUUAGUGAUCCGGUG
rnacentral:rRNA from 1 species